rnacentral:misc_RNA from 1 species
GAUGAAGAACGUAGCGAAAUGCGAUAAGUAAUGCGAAUUGCAGAAUUCCAGUGAGUCAUCGAAUCUUUGAACGCACAUUGCGCCCGCCAGCAUUCUGGCGGGCAUGCCUGUUCGAGCGUCAUUUCAACCCUCGAGCCCCCCCGGGGGCCUCGGUGUUGGGGGACGGCACACCAGCCGCCCCCGAAAUGCAGUGGCGACCCCGCCGCAGCCUCCCCUGCGUAGUAGCACACACCUCGCACCGGAGCGCGGAGGCGGUCACGCCGUAAAACGCCCAACUUUCUUAGAGUUGACCUCGGAUCAGGUAGGAAUACCCGCUGAACUUAAGCAUAUCAAUAAGCGGAGGA